UCUUAAAUAUCUCCAGAGAUGGAGAUUCCACAACCUCCCUAGGCAAUUUAUUCCAGUGUUUAACCACCCUGACAGUUAGGAACUUUUUCCUAAUGUCCAACCUAGUCUUAUGACUCUUUAGCACUUCAUCAUUUACCUUUGUGCAGAUGUAUGUCAUUAUGCUAUUUAAUUUAUAUUUUAAUAGCAAAUACUCAUCGAAAAUAUUUAUAAGUAAAUAGUUGCUAGAAGUUUUAGCAAUGACAUCUGAGUUUCUAGUAUAGCACUUGCCGUAUAUAUGCCUCCCAUUGAUAUCCGCAUGAGCUGUUCAUAUGUUCUGGAGGAGAUUUAUGAUCAAAUACCUGUCAAAGUGAAAUGAAAAUCCUAAUUUGGCUAAAAAUAUCCAUUUAAAAACAGUUAAAAGAUUUAGAAAGGUAAGUUAAUGGAUGAAUACAGUAAAGGAAAUGUAUAUUUAAACUACAGGAUCCAACCUAAUAGUUUUGUAAAACACAUUUAAAAAAAUCUUUUAUGGUAUUAAGAAUGUAAUGCUAUUUGGGAAAAAGAAUAAAUCAGUUGUAGAAUAAUUCACUUGCUUUUUUAAUUGAAUGUCAUCUCCAUGCUGUCCCUAGUUGUAACAUGGCUUGCCCAUACAAUGACAAUUUAAUAUUGUAAAGUUAUUUCUUCCAGUUCAUAACAUGAUUUAAUAACUUUUAGAUGUUUCUUUUUGUACAAAAUCUAGAUACCAUGGAGAAGGGAUAAUUAAGAAUGUGCCUUGUAUGUAUCUUCCUGAAUUCUGAGCCAAGUGGAACAAAGCAUUACAAUCCUACAAGCUGUUAGAAACAACUGACCAGGAAUCCAGAACAUUCCAAACUAAUUGUGUUUAUCCAGCCAGAACGGGGAGGAAUGCUCCUACAGUCAGUGGUGGAGAUAGCAUUGCUUACUACCCGCAUAAAUCUAAUCACUGAAGCAAGGUCUGGAAUAAAGAUGCUAAAGAAUUAUACACCAAUGCCAAACAUAAGAGGAAAGUUGUAUACAUAUAAAUCAUAUGCAGCUGUCUCCUAAGUUCAUUUUAAAAUUAAAGAAUUUGAGAUCUUUAAUAUUGUAAGUGUGCUGUAUAUAGAGAAUGUAAAUGUGUAGUUUAAUUUCAUGUACUUCUGUUCAUAGCAGAAAUAAUGACUAAGCAUAACAGUACAGUUUGCUAUUUUUAAAGAAAACUGCUUUUUUUUUUUUAAAUCAGAGCCCGAGUUGCCAUCAAAACACAUAAAAUAGAGUCAGACUUCAUUGUAACCUAAAGAUACAGUGAUGUGUUCUGUAACACACUUUCACUUCAUUUACUGUGUAAAGUUAUUGUGAGAAUUUUGUUAUAUAGCAAUUGUCAAUUAGUAUGUUCCUCUCAGGAACUAGUCAGUAUUUAGAAUUUAAGCAUAAUUUGAUUUUGCCCUAGAAUUAAAAGCAUUGGCAUUUUAAUAAUAAAAUAUCUCAUUAGAUUAGUACAUCUCAAAGUUAUUUUAUCUUGAAUAAAACAGGCAAGGUAUUAACAACUGUAAAUGCGUUUAUUACAAGUUACUUUGCAAGAAUAAUUAGCUAACAUUUAAACAUCAAUUUUGUAAUCAGUCUUCAUUGGCCAAGAUUUUUUUAAAAUUAUACUUCAACAAUUAUGCAAAAAAAGCUUAUGGAACUUUUUCCGUAAAUCCGGAUUUCUGUAAGUCAGGUUUGCGUAACCUGGGGAGCAUCUGUAUUCCUAAAUCCAUAUUGAGGUAAAUCAGUAAAGUAGUUCCGUUCUUAAGUAUCUUGCCAAACUGGAGCCUAGCCUAAUCAGUGGCUGGAAAUGCUGACAACUGUCUUGGUGGCUAUUCCAACUACAAAUAGUAAAAGCCUAUUUGUGAGUUAGAACUGGCUGUACAUGAUGCUCUGCUCACAUUACCGAUGUGUUUUACCUCUAGCAGUUAGGGACUGUAACUACUAAGAAAGCAGUACUUUUUUCUCUAUAUUCCAUUAGUUUCACAAGCCCCACCAUCCAAGUCAGUAUUUUCUGUAU